GUUAAUGAUUCAAUCCAACUUGUUUGAGGUGCUGUGGAGCCAAGCCCUUGCUUAGCAGGGGGAACCUACUUGGGGAAGCAGCAUAUCGAAUGAAAUUAAUGGAUUUUCAUUUAAC